rnacentral:rRNA from 1 species
CCAGACUCCUACGGGAGGCAGCAGUGAGGAAUAUUGGUCAAUGGGCGCGAGCCUGAACCAGCCAAGUAGCGUGAAGGAUGACUGCCCUAUGGGUUGUAAACUUCUUUUAUAUGGGAAUAAAAUGUUCCACGUGUGGGAUUUUGUAUGUACCAUAUGAAUAAGGAUCGGCUAACUCCGUGCCAGCAGCCGCGGUAAUACGGAGGAUCCGAGCGUUAUCCGGAUUUAUUGGGUUUAAAGGGAGCGUAGGUGGAUUGUUAAGUCAGUUGUGAAAGUUUGCGGCUCAACCGUAAAAUUGCAGUUGAAACUGGCAGUCUUGAGUACAGUAGAGGUGGGCGGAAUUCGUGGUGUAGCGGUGAAAUGCAUAGAUAUCACGCAGAACUCCGAUUGCGAAGGCAGCAUACCGGCGCUCAACUGACGCUCAUGCACGAAAGUGCGGGUAUCGAACAGGAUUAGAUACCCUAGUACA